UACAGAGGCCUCGAGCGUUAGGCGGAAUCACUGGGCUUAAAGCGCGUGUAGGCGGAUCGUUAAGUGUCUUGUGAAAUCCCACGGCUCAACCGUGGAACUGCUGGGCAUACUGGCGAUCUUGGGCCACUCAGGGGCGACCGGAAUAAGCGGUGGAGCGGUGAAAUGCGUAGAUAUCGCUUGGAACGCCAAAGGUGAAGACAGGUCGCUGGGGGUGUGCCGACGCUGAGACGCGAAAGCCAGGGGAGCAAACGGG
rnacentral:rRNA from 1 species